GGAGAGUUGUCCGAGAGGCCGAAGGAGCAGCAUUGGAAAUGCUGUAUACGGGUCAAAGCCUGUAUCAAGGGUUCGAAUCCCUUACUCUCCG
rnacentral:tRNA from 1 species